GACGAACGCUGGCGGCGUGCUUAACACAUGCAAGUCGAACGGAAAGGCCCUGCUUUUGUGGGGUGCUCGAGUGGCGAACGGGUGAGUAACACGUGAGUAACCUGCCCUUGACUUUGGGAUAACUUCAGGAAACUGGGGCUAAUACCGGAUAGGAGCUCCUGCUGCAUGGUGGGGGUUGGAAAGUUUCGGCGGUUGGGGAUGGACUCGCGGCUUAUCAGCUUGUUGGUGGGGGAGUGGCUUACCAAGGCUUUGACGGGUAGCCGGCCUGAGAGGGUGACCGGCCACAUUGGGACUGAGAGACGGCCCAGACUCCUACGGGAGGCAGCAGUGGGGAAUAUUGCACAAUGGGCGGAAGCCUGAUGCAGCAACGCCGCGUGCGGGAUGACGGCCUUCGGGUUGUAAACCGCUUUCGCCUGUGACGAAGCGUGAGUGACGGUAAUGGGUAAAGAAGCACCGGCUAACUACGUG
rnacentral:rRNA from 1 species